ACGCUGGCGGCGUGCCUAAUACAUGCAAGUCGAACGAACUCUGGUAUUGAUUGGUGCUUGCAUCAUGAUUUACAUUUGAGUGAGUGGCGAACUGGUGAGUAACACGUGGGAAACCUGCCCAGAAGCGGGGGAUAACACCUGGAAACAGAUGCUAAUACCGCAUAACAACUUGGACCGCAUGGUCCGAGUUUGAAAGAUGGCUUCGGCUAUCACUUUUGGAUGGUCCCGCGGCGUAUUAGCUAGAUGGUGGGGUAACGGCUCACCAUGGCAAUGAUACGUAGCCGACCUGAGAGGGUAAUCGGCCACAUUGGGACUGAGACACGGCCCAAACUCCUACGGGAGGCAGCAGUAGGGAAUCUUCCACAAUGGACGAAAGUCUGAUGGAGCAACGCCGCGUGAGUGAAGAAGGGUUUCGGCUCGUAAAACUCUGUUGUUAAAGAAGAACAUAUCUGAGAGUAACUGUUCAGGUAUUGACGGUAUUUAACCAGAAAGCCACGGCUAACUACGUGCCAGCAGCCGCGGUAAUACGUAGGUGGCAAGCGUUGUCCGGAUUUAUUGGGCGUAAAGCGAGCGCAGGCGGUUUUUUAAGUCUGAUGUGAAAGCCUUCGGCUCAACCGAAGAAGUGCAUCGGAAACUGGGAAACUUGAGUGCAGAAGAGGACAGUGGAACUCCAUGUGUAGCGGUGAAAUGCGUAGAUAUAUGGAAGAACACCAGUGGCGAAGGCGGCUGUCUGGUCUGUAACUGACGCUGAGGCUCGAAAGUAUGGGUAGCAAACAGGAUUAGAUACCCUGGUAGUCCAUACCGUAAACGAUGAAUGCUAAGUGUUGGAGGGUUUCCGCCCUUCAGUGCUGCAGCUAACGCAUUAAGCAUUCCGCCUGGGGAGUACGGCCGCAAGGCUGAAACUCAAAGGAAUUGACGGGGGCCCGCACAAGCGGUGGAGCAUGUGGUUUAAUUCGAAGCUACGCGAAGAACCUUACCAGGUCUUGACAUACUAUGCAAAUCUAAGAGAUUAGACGUUCCCUUCGGGGACAUGGAUACAGGUGGUGCAUGGUUGUCGUCAGCUCGUGUCGUGAGAUGUUGGGUUAAGUCCCGCAACGAGCGCAACCCUUAUUAUCAGUUGCCAGCAUUAAGUUGGGCACUCUGGUGAGACUGCCGGUGACAAACCGGAGGAAGGUGGGGAUGACGUCAAAUCAUCAUGCCCCUUAUGACCUGGGCUACACACGUGCUACAAUGGAUGGUACAACGAGUUGCGAACUCGCGAGAGUAAGCUAAUCUCUUAAAGCCAUUCUCAGUUCGGAUUGUAGGCUGCAACUCGCCUACAUGAAGUCGGAAUCGCUAGUAAUCGCGGAUCAGCAUGCCGCGGUGAAUACGUUCCCGGGCCUUGUACACACCGCCCGUCACACCAUGAGAGUUUGUAACACCCAAAGUCGGUGGGGUAACCUUUUAGGAACCAGCCGCCUAAGGUGGGACAGAUGAUUAGGGUGAA
rnacentral:rRNA from 1 species